rnacentral:rRNA from 1 species
GCACAAGCGGUGGAUGAUUGUGGUUUAAUUCGAUGCAACGCGAAAACUUACCCACCUUUGACAUGUACGGAAUCCUUUAGAGAUAGAGGAGUGCUCGAAAGAGAGCCGUAACACAGGUGCUGCAUGGCUGUCGUCAGCUCGUGUCGUGAGAUGUUGGGUUAAGUCCCGCAACGAGCGCAACCCUUGUCAUUAGUUGCUACAUUCAGUUGGGCACUCUAAUGAGACUGCCGGUGACAAACCGGAGGAAGUGGGGAUGACGUCAAGUCCUCAUGGCCCUUAUAGGUGGGGCUGCACACGUCAUACAAUGGAUGGUACAAAGGGUCGCCAACCCGCGAGGGGGAGCCAAUCCCAUAAAGCCAGUCGUAGUCCGGAUCGUAGUCUGCAACUCGACUACGUGAAGUCGGAAUCGCUAGUAAUCGUGGAUCAGAAUGUCACGGUGAAUACGUUCCCGGGUCUU